AUAUAAAUCACCUGGAGAUCUUGUUAACAUAUAGAUUCUGAUUCAUUAAUCUGGGAUGGAAUCUGAGAUUCUGCAUUUCUAACAAGUUCCAAGGUGAUGCUGAU
rnacentral:pre_miRNA from 1 species